rnacentral:tRNA from 6 species
UCCGACGUAGCUCAAUGGUGGAGCAAGAAGCUGUUAACUUCGAGGUUACUGGUUCGAGUCCAGUCGUCGGAGCCA